CAGUCGCCACGGUAAAACGUAGGGCGCAAGCGUUGUCCGGAAUUAUUGGGCGUAAAGAGCUCGUAGGCGGUCUGUCGCGUCUGGUGUGAAAUCCCGAGGCUCAACCUCGGGCUUGCAUCGGGUACGGGCAGACUAGAGUGCGGUAGGGGAGACUGGAAUUCCUGGUGUAGCGGUGGAAUGCGCAGAUAUCAGGAGGAACACCGAUGGCGAAGGCAGGUCUCUGGGCCGCAACUGACGCUGAGGAGCGAAAGCAUGGGGAGCGAACAGGAUUAGAUACCCGAGUAGUCCCUGUCUCUUAUAC
rnacentral:rRNA from 1 species